UAAUAAGUGUUUUAUUGGCACUUUUUAAAUCCAUAUCCCACCUUGUGUGCAAUGUCAGUCGAUCUUCUUCAUGGAGAUCGACCAAACAUCAACCUUUAUCUUUUAACUCUUUGUCUGAAAAAUAUUAUGAAUAAACAAUUCAAAAUA
rnacentral:misc_RNA from 1 species